AUAUUUUCCAACCAAAAAAAGUUGAAAAUAACAUCUGAGCUGCUUUCUCAAUAAACAACCAAGAUUUACAGAAGAAUCAAUUAUGGAUUUGCUAUUUUUUGGAAUGACAUUUGUGGAUUUUGUCCUUUUAUGAAUAGUUUGUGGAUUUGCCCUUUUUCAGGCUACAAAAAUAUGAUUUAACAUGCGUUUUAUUCGUUAUGUUUGGGUUUAGUCGGUUGUGGUUGUUCUUAGGCUUCAGUAUUUUGUAUAAAUUACGUAUUUUUAUCAAAAGAAAUCAUAAAUACGUAUA
rnacentral:sRNA from 1 species